CUUGCUUGAUACUGCAACAGUUGGACAACUUAAGGUGGUUUUUGAGCAAUUUGGGCCUAUUAAACCAGAUGGCAUUCAAGUUAGAAGUCAGAAGCAAACAGGGAACUGUUUCGGUUUUGUAGAAUUUGAAUCUGCCAGUUCAGUGCAAAGUGUGCUCAAGGCUUCUCCUAUUUCAAUUGGCAAUCGAAGAGCUUCCAUUGAAGUAAAGCGAGGUUAGUGGAAGUUCCAAAAAUCCAUCUUCGGCUCUUACAAUCACACCUCUGUCGAUUCACUCGCUCUCCAUCUCACAUGCCAC